rnacentral:lncRNA from 1 species
UCAGGAAGAUGGGAACAUCUGGGAAAGAGCAGUAUAGAUCACAGAGGUGGUGAGAGAAACAUCUUCUCUGAUACCGAUGAGGUUUUGUAGCCUAGAUUUUAUCUCCUCUCUUACUAGUCCAGCAUGACAACAAGGGAGAAUAGAGGAUAGAUUCUCAUCAUUGGACAGAGACGGUCUUCGAAGCAGACAGGAACGAGGAGAAAUCAUCGUUUUAGAGUUUAGGCUUUUUGCAGCA